GAUGAACGCUGGCGGCGUGCCUAAUACAUGCAAGUCGAGCGAACGGACGAGAAGCUUGCUUCUCUGAUGUUAGCGGCGGACGGGUGAGUAACACGUGGAUAACCUACCUAUAAGACUGGGAUAACUUCGGGAAACCGGAGCUAAUACCGGAUAAUAUUUUGAACCGCAUGGUUCAAAAGUGAAAGACGGUCUUGCUGUCACUUAUAGAUGGAUCCGCGCUGCAUUAGCUAGUUGGUAAGGUAACGGCUUACCAAGGCAACGAUGCAUAGCCGACCUGAGAGGGGGGACGGCCACAACGGGACUGAGGCACGGUCCCGACUCCCUCGGGAGGGCAGAGGGGGGGAUUUUUCCCAAAGGGGGAAAACCCUGCGGGGCCACCGCCGGGGGAGUGAUGAAGGUCUUCGGUUGGAAAAACUUUUUUUUUGGGAAAAAACAUAUUUGUAAAUAACUGGGAACAUCUUGAGGGAACCAAAUCAGAAACCCCCGCCAAAUUCCGG
rnacentral:rRNA from 1 species